UAACCCUAAUUUACUUCCUUUUUUUGCUUUUUUUUAUAUUUUAAAAUCAAUUUACUUUUUUAAUGUUGAUUUGUUUGAUUGAUACAGAUAUUGUUGUGGAUAAUUGUGCGAUUUGCAAGAAUCACAUCAUGGAUCUCUGUAUUGAAUGCCAAGCAAACCAAGCCAGCGCCACCAGUGAGGAAUGCACUGUUGCUUGGGCCAUUAAAAAGAAAGCGCAAUGUGGACAAGGAAGUUGAGUCUAGCCAAUGGACAAAUAGUCCAGGAGUUACCAG